UCGUAACAAGGUUUCCGUAGGUGAACCUGCGGAAGGAUCAUUAUCGUAACAAAGACGUGGGAGGUGCUUGAAGGCUGUCGCCGACUCGAAAGGGUCGUGCACGCUGGAAGGUGUCCUCUUGCGUGAAAUCCAUCUCACCCCUUUUGUGCACCACCGCGUGGGCUCCCUCCUCGAGGGGGCUCGCGUUUUUCAUACAAACCCCUUUGUAAAUGUCUGUAGAAUGUCCUCAUUUUGUUUGCGUUGACACGCGAUCAAUACAACUUUCAACAACGGAUCUCUUGGCUCUCGCAUCGAUGAAGAACGCAGCGAAAUGCGAUACGUAAUGUGAAUUGCAGAAUUCAGUGAAUCAUCGAAUCUUUGAACGCACCUUGCGCCCCUUGGUAUUCCGAGGGGCACACCCGUUUGAGUGUCGUGAAAAUCUCAACCUUCUUGGUUUCUUUUGAACGCCAAGGAGGCUUGGACUUUGGAGGGCUUUGCUGGACUUGAAAGGUCAGCUCCUCUCAAAUGAAUUAGCGAGGUCCCCUUUGCCGAUCCUCGACGUGUGAUAAGAUGCUU
rnacentral:rRNA from 1 species